GCACGGGUGAGUACACGUGACUAACCUACCUUUUAGUGGGGGAUAACCUAGGGAAACCUGGGCUAAUACCGCAUAAUACCUACGGGUCAAAGCAGCAAUGCGCUGAAAGAGGGGGUCGCGGCCGAUUAGCUAGUUGGCGGGGUAUGGCCCACCAAGACAGUGAUCGGUAUCCGGCCUGAGAGGGCGCACGGACACACUGGAACUGAAACACGGUCCAGACUCCUACGGGAGGGCAAGCAGUGGGGGAAUUUUUGCGCAAUUGGGGGAAACCCUGACGCAAGCAACGGCCGCGUGGAGGAUGAAGUCCCUUGGGAACGUAAACUCCUUUCCGAUCGGGGACGAAUAAUGAACGGUACCGGACAGAAGAAAGCCCAGGGUUAACUUUCG
rnacentral:rRNA from 1 species